AUCUCGACCGACUUGAAUCGUCACAUAUUUCAUUCGAUUUUCAAACAGUUCCGGGUGCAUCGUUACAUCCCUAAUUACAAGAGGAAUCAAAUAAAAUAUCACUAAUAGAACAUUAUCAGAAGGUUGUAACUUUUUUAAUUGUCAAUCAUUUUGCUCAUGAUGGGUGAAACUGCAGCCUUUAUGUAUCCCUAAACGUAUACAUGUAUAUGUUCAUAGAUUGACCACUCAACAGUAAUAACAAUGGAUGACAACACAUUGGAGAGAUUCCUGCCAGCCCUUGGUGAUAGGGUUGCAUUAAGGCAUUACUGUGACAAUGGCAACCACGUUAAGCAAUCUAGAAAACUAAGUCUUCUAGAAAAACUAUGGAAGAAAAUGAAGCUUGGACAUGCCUCAAACAUCUCAGAGGAUGCCGGUGAAAAGGAGGAAUGUGGGAGCACAAGAAAGUCAAUGAUUGGAAACAAAAAUGCUUACAAAGACACAAGACGGAUUGAACUUGGAUGGAUACACAAUGGAAAACAAGUUCGAACAAAAUGUGGUGGGACAAGAAAGCUGUCUGUUCCGAAAACUGCUGGUUACGAUGACCUCAUCAAGCUGGGAAAGGAGUUGUUUUUUCCUCGGGGGCAGUCAAAGAAAGGUCCUCAAGUCAGUUUCUCUUUCAAAAUAUAUGAUUUUCAAGAGUGUGAAAUGCCCCAUGAUAUCACUGUAGGAGGGCUGUAUGAAUCGGUUAAACUGGGAAUACUGAGAUUCUACUUGGUAUCACUUGAUCUUGAAGAAUCUGAAGCUUCUUUGGAUGAUCUUGAAACUUCAGACACACCAUCAGAACAACAACAUGAUGACUGCUACAUAACAGGCGAGACCUAUUUGUCAUCUGAUGAUGAAAUACAGUUUGGUCCAGUGGAGGAUCCUGACUACACAUCUGACGAUACUCUUUACAUAGAUGCACUUCAAGAAGAGAUACCAUCCCAGUCAAGAGACGUAACACAUGUGGUAACACAUCAAGAAGAGAUACUAUCCCAGUCAAGAGACGUAACACAUGUGGUAACACAUCAAGAAGAGAUACCAUCCCAGUCAAGAGACGUAACACAUGUGGUAACACAUCAAGAAGAGAUACCAUCCCAGUCAAGAGACGUAACACAUGUGGUAAAACAUCAAGAAGAGAUACCAUCCCAGUCAAGAGACGUAACACAUGUGGUAACACAUCAAGAAGGGAUACCAUCCCAGUCAAGAGACGUAACACAUAUGGUAACACAUCAAGAAGAGAUACCAUCCCAGUCAAGAGACGUAACACAUGUGGUAACACAUCAAGAUUCUGCUCCGAAGGUGCUGAGACUGCAUCGUGUCAACAUCAUUCAUGAUAUGAUUGAACAGUUCAAAGAUGCCAGUUUUGUGGAGACCAGACUGUCGGUUCUCUUUGUUGAUGCAUGUGGCAUUGAUGCAUCUGGUGUUGCCCGGGAUGCAUAUUCAGGUUUUUGGGAAGCUUUUUUCCUGAAUUGUGCAGAUGGGGAAACUGACUGUGUCCCAGCACUUCAGCCUGAGUAUGGAAAAGAAGAAUGGGAGGCAGUAGGUAGAAUUCUACUAAAAGGGUACCAGGAUCAUGGAUUCUUUCCAGUGAAGCUCUCUUUGGCCUUUGCAGUCUGUCUCCUUCAUGGGGAGAACAAAGUGACACCAGACAUGCUGAUUGAAUCUUUUCUGAGGUUUGUCACGCCAUUUGAGAAAGACAUCAUCAGCUCUGUGCUGGAAGGAAGAGAGUAUGACAUGGAUGACCCUACUCGACAUACAUUCCAGAAUGGGUGGGCACGCUGUACCUGA
rnacentral:lncRNA from 1 species